UACGGGGGGGGCAAGCGUUGUUCGGAAUUACUGGGCGUAAAGGGCGCGUAGGCGGUGCUCUAAGUCGGAUGUGAAAGCUCUGGGCUCAACCCAGAGCCUGCAUCCGAAACUGGAGUGCUAGAGUUCUGGAGGGGGUAGCGGAAUUCCUGGUGUAGCGGUGAAAUGCGUAGAUAUCAGGAGGAACACCGGUGGCGAAGGCGGCUACCUGGACAGAAACUGACGCUGAGGUGCGAAAGCGUGGGGAGCAAACAGG
rnacentral:rRNA from 1 species